rnacentral:rRNA from 1 species
GGACUACUGGGGUUUCUAAUCCCGUUUGCUCCCCUAGCUUUCGCGCAUCAGUGUCAGAAAAGGUCCAGCAGUUCGCUUUCGCCACCGGCGUUCCUUCCAAUAUCAACGCAUUUCACCGCUCCACUGGAAGUUCCAACUGCCCCUACCUCCCUCCAGCUGACCAGUAUCCAAGGCACUUUUCCGGUUAAGCCGAAAGAUUUCACCCCAGACUUGAUCAACCACCUACGCGCCCUUUAAGCCCAGUGAUUCCGAAUAACGUUUGCACGGUUCGUCUUACCGCGGCUGCUGGCAC